rnacentral:rRNA from 1 species
CCCUUAAAUGUUCUGGGCUGCACGCGCGCUACACUGAAGCGUUCAACGAGUAUUUCACCUUGCCCGGGAGGGUUGGGUAAUCUUUUUAAAACGCUUCGUGAUGGGGAUAGAUUAUUGCAAUUAUUAAUCUUCAACGAGGAAUUCCUAGUAAGCGCGAGUCAUCAGCUCGUGCUGAUUACGUCCCUGCCCUUUGUACACACCGCCCGUCGCACCUACCGAUUGAAUGGUCCGGUGAAAUCUCGGGACGGCGGCUUGGUCGCUUGCGUCCGACUGCUGAAACUUGAUUAAACCAUAUCAUUUAGAGGAAGGUGAANUCGUAACA